ACUAUGCUUAGCCCUAAACAUCGAUAGCGCACUACACCUGCUAUCCGCCUGGGAACUACGAGCAUCAGCUUGAAACCCAAAGGACUUGGCGGUGCUUUAGAUCCAU
rnacentral:rRNA from 1 species